CAUUUUGUCAACCGCAUAUCAUCUGGGUUCCCCUCUGAAAGCUUAUCUCACCGUCUCUCCUUCCUAACUCAUCCAAAAUUCAAAACACAGAGAACUCAUAAUCUCAAACACACAAACAACAACAUCACAGACCCUCCUUUCUUCACCCUCUUCUUCUCGAUUGACCAACCGGCGGUCACAGGUGGAGCCGGCCCCGGUUAACCGGUCAGCGAGACACCCCCUCCCCACUCUAACCACCGGCCGGAGCUGGUCUCCGAUGUCCCUCCGACCCCCGCUUAGCUGGCGAAGCAACAUGAACUCAGGCGACAAGAAUCAGGAGAGAGAGAGAGAGAGAGCGACGAAGAUAGGAGCAGCACCACCACUUACGGCGAUGGCGGUGGAGGCAGCGGUGGGUGUCUGCGACGGCGACGGUAUAUCUUGGUUGGAUCCGACGUGUUUUCCGAUGAUGACGAGGUGAACUUUAUGAGGAUGAUGAUCAGAUCGGUGGUGAUAUGUCGCCGACGGCGACAGGCCGACGAAGGCAGCGGUGGUGGUGGAAGGUUUGAGCUUUAGUUCGACUUGGAUUCAGGUGUUUGGUUCAAGUUAUUUUAAGCAAGGUUCGGGUUUUGUCCGGGUCAGAUCUGGUCAAGUUUUGGUGCGGUCAACUUCGGUCAACAGGUUCGGGUCGGUUAACAACUUCGAUUCGGGUCAAGCGGCUUCGGGUCAGACUCAGUUUCGGUUUCGGUUGACUCGGUCAAACCGAGUCAACUCGGUCAACACCUGGUCAACGCCAGUCAAACUUCAUAACGGUUCAGAAAGUCCAUAAAGGUCGACUGGUCAAAGAUGGGCAACGCAAGACGCGGUAAAGUUCAAACGACGUGAAAUUUUUAUCUCGUCAGUUUAAUUAUAGUUCUAGAUUUCAUAUUUAUACGCGAUCGAGCUCAAAACCGAAUACAUUUUGUGAUUACUUACGGUUUUGCGUUUUGACGAAAAUUACAUAUAUACAUAUAUUGUUUGGUUGACAA